rnacentral:rRNA from 1 species
GACGAACGCUGGCGGCGUGCCUAAUACAUGCAAGUCGAGCGAAUGGAAGGGAGCUUGCUCCCUGAAGUUAGCGGCGGACGGGUGAGUAACACGUGGGCAACCUGCCUGUAAGACUGGGAUAACUUCGGGAAACCGGAGCUAAUACCGGAUACGUUCUUUCCUCGCAUGAGGAAAGAUGAAAAGAUGGUUUCGGCUAUCACUUACAGAUGGGCCCGCGGCGCAUUAGCUAGUUGGUGGGGUAACGGCCCACCAAGGCGACGAUGCGUAGCCGACCUAGGAGGGUGAGCGGCCACACUGGGACUGAGAAACGGCCCAGACUCAUACGGGGGGCAGCAGUAGGGAAUCUUCCGCAAUGGACGAAAGUCUGACGGAGCAACGCCGCGUGAGCGAAGAAGGCCUUCGGGUCGUAAAGCUCUGUUGUCAGGGAAGAACAAGUGCCAGAGUAACUGCUGGCACCUUGACGGUACCUGACCAGAAAGCCACGGCUAACUACGUGCCAGCAGCCGCCGUAA